GGUGAAUAACUGUGUUGCGGCUUUCAGCUAUCCAACAAUCGAAGCAGAGCGCGGCAAUGGCUUUUGCUUGUCCUUUAAGAACCACUAAGUGCAUUAACCCAAACUGCACUCUGUCCGGUUUUGGCUAACAUUAAGGCCUAUGUAAUCAAAGUAAUCAUACGAUGGGUAUGUUUAUGGCUGAAUCGCAAACAUAGGCCGAAUUUAUCGAGCGUUGUUGGGAUAGUUUUAACAGCAGAAUGCAUACUUAGUACUCGACAGGGUGCAACUUCUUUUAUUCACACGGCACUUUCUUUGAGCACCGCGCAACGGAGAACUUGUUCACGGGUGAUUUUUAAAAUGAGGUGUAAAAAUGGCCCCACAAACAUUUUGUUUUUAUCUCGGUUAUAGUUUUGUGAAGCCCUCUUCUUUAAUUGAUCUCCAAAGGAAAACACCCCAAUACAUGCAGGCAUGGACUAAUUAGAUAUAUAGAAAUAGAUUUGUUGUUCGAAAAAGGGAUAGAAUUCUCGAGACAAGCUUCAGGGUUGAGCGAGAAAUGAUGUGCUGACAGGAUAACACACGCUAAACCCGCAAGUCAAGUAAAAUAGAAACGCCAAAAACGCUAUAAUCAAACUGACAGAAUUCAAACAAGCUCUUUUAGCACGGCAAUUCAUACAGACAAAAACACAAUCUUCGGUAAACUUUGCAACCUGUGUUUGGAAAUGCACUCUCCGUGGAGAUCAAAUUUCUUAAAAUCGGGCCGUCGAGUUGCUAGUUCAAACAUCGUAAAGCAUACACAGAGUACUACCCCCAUUAACAACACACGGCCCGCUCCUUAGCAAGUUGUGCAGUUGAACCUCGAGGAUGUGAUAUUUCGUUCCGGUGGUCGCGAGCGAAGUGCCCAAGGCGUCUAAAAAAGACCCAGAACACAGCGAGGCGGUCGAUGAUCAUGGUAUUCAACUUUGCCACUGGCUGUUUCACACAUCUUCUUUAGCGAUGAAGACGUUAGAAGAAGUUCUGGAUGAGUUUCAAAGGUGAAACAACAAACACAAGAUUUUGAAAAUACAUUUUACCCCCUUGGCGAAGUGCACGAAUUCAGCAUUUGCAGUGCUUGUGCCAUAUAAAACAUGUCCAAUACGAAAUUCAUUUGAUAAAUGUGCAAACAGUUUGUGGAACAUGUCCUUCGGAUUUACCCUUAAAUCAACGAGCCGUUCUCAUAUAUACACUCGUUAUAACCGUCAAUACAAGAAAUGUUUGCCUUUUUCUGGCCUUAGACUGUCUAAGAAAAUUCCAAGUGUAAAUAUUUCACUAGAAAAACACACAGCUUAAGCGGGUUCGAUUGAAUACUUGGUUAUAUUGUUUACAAGGUUUUCAACUGUUUGAGAGAAAAAAGAUUUUGCUUUCUUUUCUUUUUUUUUUGUUUUUUGUUUGUUUUUGUUUACAUUAAGUGGAUUCUAGGCGAUGGUGUAGUUUAGAUAAUUUAAUCUUUAAAUUGAGGAUUUUAAAAUAAUUCGAUUAAGUGUUUUCCUUUUUGGUGUUUUGUUAUCCGACAGUUAAGAUUGAGUUCCUUUUAGAUACUGGCCAAGAUGGAGCAAUUUCUCUGUUCUUGUUUGUUCCUGUCGGCACAGAAGCUAAAACGCUCAACUUCCAUUUUCUGUCAAUUUUAUCUCUACUCCACCGAGAUAUAUCACUUACUCAGAACGCCUGGUUGUUAGGGAAAAAAAGAGACUGUUGAUGAAAACAUUAAGCGCUCUUUUUUUAUAUCAAUUUUUCAAUUAAAUCAAUGAUAUAUAAUACCGUUAAAAUAGAAGACCCCUCUAUACGAAACUAAAAGGGGACAUUCCAAACACUUUAAUAAAACGGGCGAAAAAACCUUAAGUAAAGUGUUAGUCAGGGGUAAGUUUGUAAUAUCCAAUGUCACAAUGUUUGAAAACAGAUCGCUCUUCUACUGACAUUGCUCGCAAGAUUUGUCUUUAGACGUGCCAAAAACAUGAUUGCUCUUGGUAACUACUUAUCGAGUUCCACGCAUCUUAAGAUAUAGCGUCUUAUAAAUCGGUAGCUUCAAUCUAACUCUGUCAGUUAAACGCACAUAAUUGCCGAUGAAAUGUCCUAAUUCUUGUAAGCAUGGCGGUAACCUGAUCACUUGUAUGCUGGGAACUUAAGAACUCAUCUUGUAGUCGUAAAAGCGUGUCUUUGUUUGGAUCAAGGGUCUCAAGUCUUGUUCAGUUAGCUCAAGUCUAAAUACGGGAAGACCGGGUUCUUAACUGAUUUCAACUGAUAAAGUUCAAGAUUGUGUUGGAAUUAAUCGCUUAAAUGCACUUGUCAAAGAAAAUAGUGUCUUCCCAUUUUGAUUACGGAUUCUUAAGAACAGCUUAACGUUUAUUUGUCCGAUAAAAAAAAUCCUAAGCAACUUCUUUGUAGCCAAAGAUUCUCCAAUUGUGCCAUCAUUGUCCAUUGUGCAUUCAGUUGAGAUUUGUUUGUUAGAUCCUGCAGCCAGCUGAGUCUACGAACCUGUUUCGCGAACGGCUUAGCCUGAUCACAUGUAACCCCGCGACGACAUAGAAAUCAACCAAAAAAACAAUUCACACAAUACUAUGACGCAUUCUUUGCUUGCAAAUCUCGGAUACAGUACUUACUAAGUAGGUAUUCUAUACUAAAUAUGAACUAAUGAGAAAUAAAUUCUUUUUCAUACGA